UUCUUAUCAAGAGUGGCGGAGGGACUGGCCCAAUGAAGCCCGGCAACCGGAAAAAGGAAAAUUUAAUUCCUUUUUCUUGGUGCCAAUUCCAGCAGGUAUUUUUUUAAAAUACCUGGCAGAUAAGAA
rnacentral:ncRNA from 2 species